UCUUGGUCAUUUAGAGGAAGUAAAAGUCGUAACAAGGUUUCCGUAGGUGAACCUGCGGAAGGAUCAUUACCGUGAUGGCGACGCUUGCGUCCCGUCCUCACGCCCCCUGUCUACCGAACCGUCGUUGCUUCGGCCGCCUCCCCGGGGGCCGGUCAGAGGGUUUCAACCCCGGAAUCUGUGUCGUCUGGAACACCAUACAAUCGUCAAAACUUUCAACAACGGAUCUCUUGGUUCUGGCAUCGAUGAAGAACGCAGCGAAAUGCGAUAAGUAAUGUGAAUUGCAGAAUUCCGUGAAUCAUCGAAUCUUUGAACGCACAUUGCGCCCCCCGGCCCUCCGGGGGGCAUGCCUGUUCGAGCGUCAUUGCACCCCUCAAGCUCUGCUUGGCCUUGGGCCCGCCGUGUCCCGGCUCGCCCCAAAACCAGUGGCAGCCGCCGCCCUGUCUCCAGCGCAGUAUUGCUCGCCGCUGGUCAGAUGUGGGUGGCGGCCCGCCAGCAACGUCGACUUCUUUCAGGUUGACCUCGAAUCAGGUAAGGGAUACCCGCUGAACUUAAGCAUAUCAAUAAGCGGAGGAA
rnacentral:rRNA from 1 species